UACGAAGGGAGCUAGCGUUGUUCGGAAUCACUGGGCGUAAAGCGCACGUAGGCGGAUGUGUCAGUCAGGGGUGAAAUCCCGGAGCUCAACUUCGGAACUGCCUUUGAUACAGCACAUCUGGAGUCCGGAAGAGGUGGGUGGAAUUCCUAGUGUAGAGGUGAAAUUCGUAGAUAUUAGGAAGAACACCGGUGACGAAGGCGGCCCACUGGUCCGGUACUGACGCUGAGGUGCGAAAGCGUGGGGAGCAAACAGG
rnacentral:rRNA from 1 species